rnacentral:lncRNA from 1 species
CUCUCGUGUUUAGUUUCUCGCAGUGCGCCUUGGCUAAAUGCCUAUGUCUACUUUUAAUCUUGAAAGUGUAUUUCUGACCGAUUUGUAGUAAAUUCUGCCUGUGUCAUUUUACAGUGUGGUCUGUUUUAUUCAAUGUCUCAUUGUUUUUCUUGUCUUCUGGGGGUUCAGAGCAGAUUAAGCCUCUGCUUUGUCGGUCUGUCUUUGCCCUGGACAUGGUAGCUGCUCAUUUCAGGUCUUGUUUUUUAUAUUUUUUCCUGUUAACUUUUUUAUCCUCGUGCUCUGUCACCCAGGCUUGGGUGUCAUCAUGUGAUCAUGGCUCCACUGCAGCCUUGGCCUUUUGGCCUCCACUGAUUUUCCCCAGUCAUCAUCUUCAGUAGCUGGGACUACAGGCAGACGUUGCCAUUUCUGACUAGUUUCUGGUUUGGUUUGAGAAGUUGGUUCUCUGUUGCUCAGGCUGGUUUUUUUUUUUUUUUUGAGAUGGGGUCUCACUCAGUUGCCCAGUCUAGAGUUCAGUGGCAGGAUCUCAGCUCACUGCAGCCUUGGCCUCCUGGGUUCAAGUGAUUCUCCUACCUCAGCCUCCUGAGUAGCUGGGAUGAUAGGUGCGUGCCACCAAGACCGGCUAAUUUUUGUUGUUGUAUCGGGCCAAGCAUAGAAAGUCAACACCAAGACAAAAGUAUGCCAAAUUGCAGGGUUUAUUGCCGGCGACCACAGAGGACUCAAGUCUGUCCAGCCCAUGGCAGAGAAAGACGGGAGACAAGAUUUUUUUAUACCCGCAAAACCACCUUGGGAGUGGAGGUUACAUGAUCUGACUUGUAACAUGAUCAGAAUAUUACCAGAAAGAAGUCUUGAUCCAGACCCCAAGAGAGCAUUCUUGGAUAUCGCACAACAAAUAAACCAGGCAGGUAAUCUUGAGGGAUGAGUUUACGUCUUGCCAAGAUGAAGAUCAGACUUACUUCAGCCUUCUAUAAAACUGAUUAUUCCAGAAGCUCAGUGCUUCUCUCCUACAAAAUAUCUGCUGCAUGCUCAGGCAUCACAACAGGAAUUCAGCAUCCAUGAGACAUCAAUAAGAGAGCUUGUUAACUUUUUUAAAAAAUAAAAUCUCAGACCCUCCACCACUCUUGCCAAUUUUUGUGACAAGGAUGUGAUAUUUCUCAGAGAUCUGGAUUCUUAAGAGAAAAGAUAAAGAGAAUGGGCAUAAAAAGACUCUCCAAGACUCUGUAAUGAAUGUUCACAGUAUGGGAAGUCUGGGUGGCAGAAUAAGUGUCUUCCACUGCCUUAUCUCUUAAUGAGUCUUUAGAGGCUAAAUAGGGAGAGGUGAAACUGAAACCAGCCUCCUGAUCAAUUAUUAUUCACUUCUGCCUCGUUGUUCACCACCCUUAGUUGUUGCUCACCCUCGUUUGGAAAAGAGGAGGAAAGAAUGUGAUCACCACAAUGGUCUGGGGCCUCACAGUAAAGGCAAUAUGACUGUGGCUGCUGAGUCAAAGGUCCCCACGUUAAAGUCAGUGGUGUCAGCAGUAAUGAUAGAGCUUUGAAUGAACCAAAGCCAAGUAUAACCACUUGGACCAGGAAGUUACUUAAAAGAGCUGAGCCCCUCUCUCCCUCUAAGCCACCUGAUGAUGCCCUCCUUGUCUCCCACGACUUUGGGUACUUUAAAGAAAACGCUGAGAAUCCUGGACAAUUUGGGAGCAGGGGAAGGACUCAAACUGCUAUAGCUCUAUUGUACAUAGGCACCAAAGUCAUCAGUAUACCCCUCCCAUCGGGGAAAGAAAUACUGGACUCAGGAGGUGGAAAGUGCUAAGAACUAUGAGGAAGAGCCUUGGUGAAUGACAGGACCAAUCUGUUUCUUGACUCUGGAGCUGUUGCCAAUGACUUAGGUUUCUGCAAUUCCACUUGAAAACUACAGUGUGGCAGAUUAGAAACAUUCCUUUCUCAGGACACAAACUCAAAAUAAAUUGCUGCU